rnacentral:misc_RNA from 1 species
AAAGUCGUAACAAGGUAACCGUAGGUGAACCUGCGGUUGGAUCAUUAACAAAUAUUAGAAGACCUUCAAGGUCUCUCUAAACAUCUUGUGAAUUAAAUAUGUCUCUAGCAUGAUUUAAUUAUUAUUAGUUGGAUUAUGCUGGAAUUAAACUAUACUUUAUUUAACCUUUUGUCUAUAAAUUCAUUUAAAAAGUAAUUAAAACAACUUUUGACAACGGAUCUCUAGGCUCUU